GCGUAGGAAUAACGCAGUGCAAUAUUUGACUUGUUGCCACGCCAGUUCAUAACAGCCGUCCAUGACCAAGCCACCGCCUUUGCUCAAUAAGGCUCCAACUAAUCCACGUGACCGUAUGAGAACCGUUUGAUAAUUUAAAUCGUUAUUAAUCGUGUACGUUCAUUUUACGGAGAACCCUCUAUAUUUAGGUAGGGUUUCUUCACAGUUGUCUUAUCGUUUCAUUUCCGCAUCUGCAUAAUUUCUUCCGUCCGUCUUCUCAUCGGAGUUGCAAAUGGCCUCUCUCUUAGGAUUCUCUUGAAAGUUGUAGAUCGCUUGGCGAUCUACCUAUUGAUGGGAAUCUUGCGUGUGUUGAGGCGAGUCCUACUUUGAAUGUUGGAUCUGGCCGGACAGUAUCGAGUUUGACAGAUCUUAAUGGAGGAACGUGUUGCCGAUCUUGACUCUAUGGUUGCUCUGGAGAUGCAGGUGCACCGUCGGUAUGCGAUGUGGAUCCAUGGAGUGGUUGAUGUGUUCUUGAUCACAGAAGAGGUGCUUGUGGAUGCGGAUCUUCGUCAUGUAAAUAUGUAACGAGCAUAGGAAGAUCUCGUAUUGAGGAUGUGCUAUUUAUCUUGCAAAAUUUUGAGUUCUCCUAUCGUUCCACGAGGUUUAAUUUACAAUUUGGAUGUAAAAGAUAUCGGGAUGUAGGAGGCCUAAUUUCAGGGGGCCGAAUCCUGUACGAUCUUUGUCAUCCGACCUUUGCCAUGACAGGUGCGCUUGCAUGGCAGGUCACCCCUACUUAAUAAUAAUUCUCUUUGUUUUUCGAGGGGAGAUCGCACGGGGAUUGCCCGGGUUCUCUCCUCGCGUGUUUGUGGGUGUGGUGUCUUUCUACUCUAUAUCCCGUCACAACAGCAAUUUUUCGCGGUACUUCGUAGGCUAAUGCAACGAAUUCGAGGUCAUCACUCAUCAUCAUCGGCAAAGAAUACUCGAGGUAUCUUCAACAACCCAUAAAUUUCGCAAUGAUUUCAGAUAUAUUUUGUCAUUUUGACAUUACUGCGCCAGCCAACAAUUAAGAAUGGUCUGAAACAGAAAGGAAGUAGUUCGGUAACAAUUGAUUAAUUUGGCUAGUGUUUUUUUGUUUGUUUGUUUUGGUAGUUCCUAAUAUCGUAGAUGAUCAACGGUCAAGGAUUAUCAUUGUGGGCUGAAAUUCGAUUAUUUACCACUCAAAUCGUUCCAUUAUAAUUUCUGUUUUUUGCGUUUUACUUCCAAUACGUAGUAGUCUGUUUGGGAGGUUCUUAAUUGUUAAAUCAAGUGUUGCACAAAUUAAUGCAUUUUGUUUCAUUUUCAAUUUUCUGGGACUGUAUAUUAUUACUCUACCCUAAUGAUUCCUUGCGAGGGCUGUCUGUGUGCGCGCAUAUAACUGAAUUGUUUCUGAGGCUCUGUAACUAUGUACGAAAGUGUGGAUCCGCUGGUGUUUCUCAUGGUUGGUAGCGCGUGGUUUAGAAACUCUCAACUGCUGUUGCCUUGCUGACGAAUUGUAAGUGUUGCACGGUGCUUCUAUGGUAGGAUUAUGGACAAGGUGGUGAUGGCUUAUAGAAUUUUUCAAGCUUAUUAACUGUUUUUUUAAAGGAAUUAGGUUUUAGAGCGGUGCUCGGUUAUUGUUGGUAAUUCUCUCUCGUUAUGUUCAUAUUCUCUAGUCUUAUUUUUAAAUUAGAAUUAGUAAUUGUUAUUAUUCAUUAUUAGCCCACAAUGUUGGUAAAAGAAUCUAUGGUCACGAUUGUUUCCCCAUUUGGGCGUUGGUCACUACGUUAGAUUAUGUUAUUUGUUAAAAGGAUAAAUUUGAAACACACACAUCAGGAAUAUACUAUACUUGAAAGCUUGUGUAGCUA